rnacentral:rRNA from 1 species
GAUGAACGCUAGCGGCAGGCUUAAUACAUGCAAGUCGAGGGGCAGCAUAAGUAGCAAUACUUGAUGGCGACCGGCAAACGGGUGCGGAACACGUACGCAACCUUCCUUUAAGUGGAGAAUAGCUCCCGGAAACGGGAAUUAAUACUCCGUAACAUUAUGAAAUGGCAUCAUUUUAUAAUUAUAGAUUUAUCGCUUAAAGAUGGGCGUGCGCCUGAUUAGGUAGUUGGCGGGGUAACGGCCCACCAAGCCUUCGAUCAGUAACUGGCGUGAGAGCGCGACCAGUCACACGGGCACUGAGACACGGGCCCGACUCCUACGGGAGGCAGCAGUAAGGAAUAUUGGUCAAUGGACGAAAGUCUGAACCAGCCAUGCCGCGUGGAGGAUGAAGGUCCUCUGGAUUGUAAACUUCUUUUAUUUGGGACGAAAAAAGAUCAUUCCUGAUCGCUUGACGGUACCAGAUGAAUAAGCACCGGCUAACUCCGUGCCAGCAGCCGCCGUAAAAC